rnacentral:rRNA from 1 species
CAGCCGUAAACUAUGCUCGCUAGGUGUCAGGCAUGGCGCGACCGUGUCUGGUGCCGCAGGGAAGCCGUGAAGCGAGCCACCUGGGAAGUACGGUCGCAAGGCUGAAACUUAAAGGAAUUGGCGGGGAGCACAACAACGGGUGGAGCCUGCGGUUUAAUUGGACUCAACGCCGGACAACUCACCGGGAACGACAGCAAUAUGUAGGCCAGGCUGAAGACCUUGCCUGAAUCGCUGAGAGGAGGUGCAUGGCGUAGACGUCU